GUGUUCGCACUGGCAGCACAUAUACUAAAAUUGGAACAAUACAGAGAUUAGCUGGCCCCUGCACAAGGAUAACUCACAAGAUAUUCCAAGCAAAU
rnacentral:snRNA from 1 species